AUCCUCUGCACUCAGCGUCGAAGCUACUCAAACAAACGUUCAAACAGUUUGAGGUUAACAGAAGGUCACACUAUAGGUCAAUAGUUAUAAAGAUGAGAUACAUAUUCAUUAUCUUGUUGGGAUUGAUUUGGAUGACGACGAGCAUUAUGGGUACGAGCAUAGAAAAUUCUCCUCCUAUACAUAUUCAUGACCAUAUUGUGAUGGCUCCUCAGCGUUGUCCUGAUGGGCAUAUUCGAAUAGGUGGAAGGUGUCGAAAGCUUUACUAAUAUUCGUCAAUCAUAAAACAAACAAAAAGAUAAGAAAUUCCUCUAUUUUCUUCGUUUGAAAAAUAAAAAUAAAAAACUGAAAAGAAAAAUGAAAAUAAAAUUUUACA